GUCAGCCCAAAUAUUGCGCCAUUCGCUUGGUCCUGGCGGAUUAAAUCGUAAAAGACGGCUGGCUGGCACGGAAAGGUGCUGUACACCAGGAAGAAAUCGACCCGUCCAGGGUCGCAUCCAUCGUACAGCGUGACACCAGACCUCCAUCUACUUCGCCAUGGCCAGCAACUCCGACGAUGUCAGUGUCCUAUAGGACAAGAUUGAUGGUAGACGACCCUACGCUCGAAUGGCGUUAAACGAUCCGAGGCGAUCACACAACUUUAAAGCCGCACACAAAUCAAGAGGAUUGCGCUUCGUCGCGGAGCUUCAUAUGAACGACGAAAUGAAGCCAGAACGACGAAAUGAAGAACGAAAGUCUUAUCUGCUAGUAGAGAGUCCCCCAAGAGUACUCCAGUCAUAAUAAAAAUCAAACA